rnacentral:rRNA from 1 species
CCUACGGGAGGCUGCAGUGGGGAAUAUUGGACAAUGGGGGCAACCCUGAUCCAGCCAUGCCGCGUGUGUGAAGAAGGCCCUCGGGUUGUAAAGCACUUUCAGUGAGGAAGAACGCCUGGUGGUUAAUACCCAUCAGGAAAGACAUCACUCACAGAAGAAGCACCGGCUAACUCCGUGCCAGCAGCCGCGGUAAUACGGAGGGUGCGAGCGUUAAUCGGAAUUACUGGGCGUAAAGCGCGCGUAGGUGGCUUGAUAAGCCGGUUGUGAAAGCCCCGGGCUCAACCUGGGAACGGCAUCCGGAACUGUCAAGGUAGAGUGCAGGAGAGGAAGGUAGAAUUCCCGGUGUAGCGGUGAAAUGCGUAGAGAUCGGGAGGAAUACCAGUGGCGAAGGCGGCCUUCUGGACUGACACUGACACUGAGGUGCGAAAGCGUGGGUAGCAAACAGGCUUAGAUACCCCAGUAGUC